AACGAACGCUGGCGGCAUGCCUAACACAUGCAAGUCGAACGAGACCUUCGGGUCUAGUGGCGCACGGGUGCGUAACGCGUGGGAACCUGCCCUUAGGUUCGGAAUAACUCCCCGAAAGGGGUGCUAAUACCGGAUAAUGUCUUCGGACCAAAGAUUUAUCGACUUUGGAUGGGCCCGCGUUGGUUUAGCUUGUUGGUAGGGUAAAAGCCUACCAAGGCGACGAUCCAUAGCUGGUCUGAGAGGAUGAUCAGCCACACUGAGACUGAGACACGGCCCAGACUCCUACGGGAGGCAGCAGUGGGGAAUAUUGGACAAUGGGCGAAAGCCUGAUCCAGCAAUGCCGCGUGAGUGAUGAAGGCCUUAGGGUUGUAAAGCUCUUUUACCCGGGAUGAUAAUGACAGUACCGGGAGAAUAAGCUCCGGCUAACUCCGUG
rnacentral:rRNA from 1 species